UAGACAUGGUGCAGUUACUGCAUGAGCUAACUUCCAUCUUCUGCAAAGUCUAAAUCAGUGUCAGGGAUGGGAAUAAAAGCAACAGAGGCUCACACUCGUACGAAACCAGCCCAGCCCAGCGAAGGUGUAGACAUAGCGAGAGGAGCAAGGACAGUCAGAAAACCUGCUGGCCAAGUGGCAGCCCAGCUGUACCUCCUAGCUUACGUCCUUUUUGAGUAAUGAAAGAAGCUGCAGUUUCUUAUAGGAAGGACAGAGGAACAUCCUCUUCAGAGUGACACAAAAGGGUUAAAGGUAAGACUUAACAGCCACCUGACUUAAGUUUUAUCGUCCCACCAGUGGAAGCAGAUUAGUGUCGUUAAAGAAGAUCAUUUGUGUGUGUCCUCUAGAAGGGUGUAGCCUCCUUUGAUAAUAAGGAUAAGCUGAUGCCAAGAUAAGCGGAGGGGCUCUGCUGGUUACUUCUUAUUUAUUGCAUCUUUUUAUUGCUUUCUUGAAGGGAAGGUGCUGUUUCAAAGCAGCUAAUAAUUAGUUAAUUAUGAACUUGGUAGAAGAGGCAUAAGAAGCUGUGAAGCAUUAAAUAAUAAAAAAA
ensembl:lncRNA